rnacentral:lncRNA from 1 species
ACGGCACUGUUUUACCCCCCCCAAAAAAAAAACCCACUCGACGAAGUCGUGCUCCCCCAGGUCGGCGCAGGCGUAGCCAUGGUAGCCGAAAACGUCGCCGGCGAAGAACUUGACGCCGUUUUGGUGGCAGAUGCGGUCGAUGCGCAGCAUGGCGUCCCGCGAGCAGCACGUCACGCACACAGCAUCGAAUUGGGUGAAGAAAGAUUCAGGUUUGCUCUCGACGCUUUCGGGGUCGGCCUUGACAUCCACCAUGGGGUUGAGGUUCUGCGCCCGUUCCAGCGACGCUUCGGCCCUAUUGCGCCCCACAGAGCCAGCAGGGACCAGGAAUUGAGCCCGUGUGUCCUCAGGGGACACCUAAAUGGGAAGAAAUAAGGAAAUUUUGGGGUUACCCAUAAGGAGGUGAAGUCCAGGAGGAGGAAAAUGGGGAUUGUGGGGAGCAGGAAGCGCUCCUGGUCCCCAAAACAGAACAGUUUCCACCUUGAGGUAUCCUAAAAAUGAAGGGAUUUCUCCCAGAAAGAGCGUUUUUUGGAUGCUGAUGCAUGUCCCAAAAUAGAGUGAUUUCUCCCAAAAGAGUGUUUCCGGGAUGAGUGGGUUUGGAUGGCCCAAAAUGGAAUGUUUUCUACCUUCAGGUGACCCAAAACGGAGGGAUUUCCUCACAAAGAGCAUUUUUUUGGAUGUGGGUGCAAGUGUCCCAAAACUGCGUUUUUUGGAAGUGGGUUUGGAUGCCCCAAAAUAGUGUGAUCUUCUCUUUUAGAUGACCCAAAACUGAGUGAUUUCCUCCAAAACAGCGUUUUUUGGAAGUGGGCUAGGUGUCCCCCCCCCCAAAAAAAAAAAAGAGAGCUUAAACCCCCUCCAUAUUGAUCAAUUUCCCUCAAAAAACCAUUUUUAGAGAAAAAAACAAGGUUUAAAUGCCCCAAAACGGAACACUCUCUCCUUCAGGUGCCUCAAAAUGGAAUAUUUUCCCUUUCAGGUGACCCAAAACUGCCCCUUUCUCCCCCAAAAAAACAUAUUUUUCCCUAGCAGUUGGUUCAGGUGCCCCCAGAGGCUCCAAUUUCGCUGUUUUCCCCCCCAAAAAGCCCCCACCUGGUGGUGGUCCAGCAUGGUAAGCGCCCGCACUCCUGCCAGGAUGAGAUUCUUGGCCACCUCUGCGCCGAGACCACGCAGCCCCACCAGCAGCACACGGGAUGCCCGCAGCCUUCAGAUAACAGGAUUUGGGGGAAAAAAACCAUAAAUUGGGGCUGCAGGAGAAGGUCGUGCUGAAAAUUCUCUAAAAAACAGCGUUUCUCCCCUAAAUUUUAGCUAAAAUCUGCAAGUGUGCAGGGCUGAAAGGGUCCCAAUUCCAUCCCCUAAACCUCAAUCCCAGUAAUUCCCG